rnacentral:rRNA from 1 species
UACGUAGGGGGCAAGCGUUGUCCGGAAUCAUUGGGCGUAAAGAGCUCGUAGGCGGUUUGUCGCGUCUGCCGUGAAAGUCCGGGGCUCAACUCCGGAUCUGCGGUGGGUACGGGCAGGACUAGAGUGAUGUAGGGGAGACUGGAAUUCCUGGUGUAGCGGUGAAAUGCGCAGAUAUCAGGAGGAACACCGAUGGCGAAGGCAGGUCUCUGGGCAUUAACUGACGCUGAGGAGCGAAAGCAUGGGGAGCGAACAGG